rnacentral:rRNA from 1 species
GGGUGAGUACGCGUGGGAACAUACCCUUUCCUGCGGAAUAGCUCCGGGAAACUGGAAUUAAUACCGCAUACGCCCUACGGGGGAAAGAUUUAUCGGGGAAGGAUUGGCCCGCGUUGGAUUAGCUAGUUGGUGGGGUAAAGGCCUACCAAGGCGACGAUCCAUAGCUGGUCUGAGAGGAUGAUCAGCCACAUUGGGACUGAGACACGGCCCAAACUCCUACGGGAGGCAGCAGUGGGGAAUAUUGGACAAUGGGCGCAAGCCUGAUCCAGCCAUGCCGCGUGAGUGAUGAAGGCCUUAGGGUUGUAAAGCUCUUUCACCGGAGAAGAUAAUGACGGUAUCCGGAGAAGAAGCCCCGGCUAACUUCGUGCCAGCAGCCGCGGUAAUACGAAGGGGGCUAGCGUUGUUCGGAAUUACUGGGCGUAAAGCGCACGUAGGCGGAUAUUUAAGUCAGGGGUGAAAUCCCAGAGCUCAACUCUGGAACUGCCUUUGAUACUGGGUAUCUUGAGUAUGGAAGAGGUAAGUGGAAUUCCGAGUGUAGAGGUGAAAUUCGUAGAUAUUCGGAGGAACAC